rnacentral:misc_RNA from 1 species
GUUGGAUCCUGUUGUUGGAAGACAGCCACAAAUAGAGCGAGUCAUCCAAAUCUUGGGUCGGCGAACUAAAAACAAUCCCUGUCUUAUUGGAGAACCAGGGGUUGGGAAAACAGCAAUUGCAGAAGGUCUUGCUCAACGUAUAGCAAGUGGUGAUGUCCCUGAAACGAUUGAGAGAAAGAAGGUUAUUACCCUUGAUAUGGGUCU